CACACAAACACAACAGAAUAGUUUUACGAACACUAUUCAAGUAAUGAUACGUCACGCUUGUAGCGCACAGUGAUAUUUCUGUGUUUCUUUCAUUAGUAAACUAGCGCAUACUGAUGAUUCUUGACACAUUUUUAAAAAUUUUAUUUUCGUGAUUUACUAUUCUGGGAGAAGAUUAAGUUUGUAUAAUUAUUAUUCGAAACUAUGAAAUUAUAUGAAAAUUUAUACAAAUUUCGUUAGGAAAGAUUAAAUGGUUUCCAACGUAUGCAUUACGUCUGGCGUGUGUUUUAUCCGAAAGCAGAGGCGUUUAAAAGAUUUCAAGACCGUUUUCAUCUUUUUAAAUGGAACUAUACAUUUUUCUAUACAACGUUCGAUGCAUUUUUCACUUCUCUGUGAAAACAGAAUAAGAUCCCUGUCAAAAUAAGAAGUCUGUCUCCCGAAACAAAAUAUCCUAAGAGAAAUCGAUGUGUCGCGCCUGUAAAAUUCAGCAGCAUAUUUCGACCUUGGAGGGGGAAAUCUGUAAUCUGAGAGAUUUCUGGAAACAUGAGGACCUCAGACAAGGAUCGCACAACGUUAAUUUAGAACUGCUUCCUUCCAUCUUCAAAGAACUCACAUCUAUAUAUAAUUAUUAUAUCAAAUCAAAAAUACUUCUGUCCGACUAUGUAAUUAUUUUUACGAAUUUUAUAGCGUAGCCUUCGAACCACAUAAAAAAGACGCGCGCAGUUUCAUCGUCAAAUUGGAUUAUUCCUUGCGAGAUCCUUCGGUUACUCUCGAGGGCAGUGAAUGCCGCCAGAUUUCACGACGAUUGAGCAAAUCCGUAUCGAACGAUUCCUAACAAAUAUGUAACGUCGGAAACGUGUAAUUAAACGUCUAAGCGAAACAACGUUUUGCCAAGAAAUGUGCGAUUAGAGGUAAUUACUUUAUUAACCUACUUCCAGUCGCAACUUGCGUUCACUCGCAGGCACGACAAUCCUACAGCGAUGAAUUCAAAUCUAUAAGCAAGCAGGCUUGCCGAUAUUACAGCAAGGAGAUGACAAGAACUGCGAAAUCUCGAACAAGUUGGCUAUAUGUGCGUUGGAUGCACUCGGUCGGAAACAUCCAAACAUCGAAACAAAUAAACCGAAACUUUGGAUUUGGCAAACGAGAAAAGGAUUUGGGCGCACGUUUCCGAGAAAUUAAUCGAGAAAUUACGUUCUUGGUGCAACAGUUUCUUGUGUUUUAAAACGCUAAACCUUAGCAGGUUUAAUGACCGCUUUCAAAAUUGAAUUUAAAGUCGUGCAUUCGUUGUUAUUUCUUUCGUUCCACUAACUUUCUCUGAAUUCUUACGUUUAUCUGAUUAAUCAAUUUCUCAAUUUUUGUUAAUACAGUUACAAUUUCCAUCCGUAAAAUCGUACAAAUACGCAGUGAUAGUAUAAUAAAUAGAAAUAAACAAAGGCUUAUAAUAUAAAAGAUAGAUUAUAGGAAUUUAAUAUUUAAAAAAAUGAUAUUAAUAUCAAAAGAAUUUAUAAAGCGUAAGAUAUGGUCCCUGGCGUUUCCCCGAAAUUGUUGAGAAGUUUCUCCCACUCUGAAUCUUAUCGUUUCAAUAUUUUCAAUAGCUUUGCUCUGCUUACAAAAUUCGUUGUAUCUCGAAAGAAGAAAAUAGAGCAUAUGUUUGUACGAAGUUUCUUCAUUGUUUUUAGAUGCACAAUCAGCUCUGCAAGUGGGGCCCAUAUGUUACGUCACAUCCUGUGUACGCAAAAAGUUUCUGUAAAUGGCCAAAUAUUUUCGCGAGCAACUGUACGUGGAUGCGAAUUCGCAGUCGCGAAUUAUUCGAAUUCAAGUUGCUCAGCUUGCUCGAGUGAAAUUGCUGCAAGUAAAAUUUAAUUGAAGAGGCGCUUAAGUGCAUCUUUCACGAUGCUGCGUCUCGACAAACGGCAAAAAGAGGAAGGACUCGUGUAUCUGCCAAUUUGCAUACGCAUAGCGAGCAUAAAAUUCCGCCUCGUACGAUCUUUCUACGAUUCUCUCGAGUCAGCUAGGCGAGUUACGUUAGACUCGCGUAAUCCCGCAACGUUUCAUACACUGCCGUCCACGAGUCACCGAACACUUGCUCGUUUUGCGCAGGAUGAUUUUUACAAUGUAAAUAUACGAUUUCUCGACCGACUUCGUUGUUUAUCUUUAAGCUACUUACAGUCUAUUUAAAGCGUGCGCGAUUUAUUUAUCGUGCUAUGAAAUAAUCUGUAGAUAUCGUGAUGCGAAAUUAGCGUUUACGUGGAACGUUGAAAUUGCAUAACGUUAAAGGUAUGUACGCCACCGUGUAUAAGUGUUAUAUAAGAAAUUUGCAAAUUAUCGCAAAUAUACGAAAUAUACAUCGAUUAAAUUCGCUAAUUUAAUUUUCGCCUGCGAUAUUAUCUCGGGUAACCGCGUAAAAUUGAUAAAUAUUGGUAAAAAGGAUAAUUCAUAUUAAUUAGUAUAAAUAGAAAGUUAAUAAUCGAAUGUAGAUGAAAAUUGUUUCUACAAAUAUCCGAGUUCAACUUUCUAAGUCUGUUCAACGUUUUAGAUCUCAGAAAACGAUUGCAAUAUGUGUUUCCAAUCGCGUUCUAAAAGUUUCUCUAACUUUGACGAAGCUUGAUUUAUCGGUGGCGAACAUGGAACUUGAUCGUUGCAGUUUCACUUUGAAUUUGGUGGAACGUUGAAUCCGAGUUGUGGGAAAAAGUGCAGAAUUAACAGUAGAGCAACACGGUCUUCUAUUACGAUGCUGAAAGUAUGAUAAAAAUAUCAAUGUUCUGACUGGAUUGCAUCAAGUGUCCAAAUACAUAGAGCAAGUGCAGCAUAUUUGGCAUAUCACUUUGUUUAUGGCGAAUACAAAAUUACAACAGAGCAUGAGAACAAAUAAAAUUGUAUAAUACCACAGGGAAAUUAAUGAACUUCUGUACGUCAAACUGCCGGCAAUGGCGAAAAGCGAAGAGUACCUGGAACUUUGGCUGGAUCGAAGGAUGACGUAAAGCAACGAUUUUGUUACGGUGCAAGUAAUUCGGAAUAGCGGUAUUCCAAUCUACCUUCGCUGUAGAAGCUAAAAAACAAGCGGAGAGUAAAAUUAUUUUCUCCUACGAUCUAAUCUCGUACGAAAAUCAUAGCACAGAAACGAUCAUCUCAGAAAAAUUUCGAUUCUGUGUCUUAAAAUUUACUUGCGUUGGUCACAGGUGUAACAUCCGCGAAAAUAACCAACACAUUCACGAUGUACCCACGUUUCACACGUGAGACGCUGGCACCCACUCGUCUCCUUUUUUGCCUUCGCCGUAGUUUGCACUGCGGAAGAGGCGCGCAGCAUCCAGCUUGGUAGGUUUUGCUUGGGAAUUGCGAGUCAGUAACGUGCCAUGUAAAAGCGAAAAUUCCAUGUGACAUUCUGUACUCGCGAAACGUUCGCAAAAUCAACUCGAAAGCAUAAAAUUAAUAUGCGAACGAGUAGAUCAACUGUUGUUGCAAAUUCACGCUCUUUUACUCUGCGGAUCGAGUCGAAGUUAGGCUUCGUUCACAAACGUCAGUGGUCGACUAUCGUUUGCGCUGUUACAAAUUAGACUACGUUGUUGUGUAGUUUCUGGGAAAUGUCGGUUUUCCGAAUUACCGACAGUACUGCAAAUACGCCGCUUUUCCUCGACUUGUACGCGAUACUGUACGUGUCGUAAGAAUCGUUUCGUUCGAAGUAAGCGAACGUCCACUAACUUGUAGACGACAUUGUACGGUUCUCUGUACGUGUGAUUCGACAGCAGAAUCCGCGAGAACCGUUAGACCGGUGCUCAGUUCCAGGGAAAUUCGGGGAAAUUCGUCGAUACAGGAAGGUUCGUUCACCGGCGAACGCGCGUUCCGCGAAAACCACGCGAUUCAUCAUGAAAGCGGAAAGCUCGUGGACGCGAGUAUCUAUCGACAGGUUUCACACGGACCGACCACUGGCACAGCGCAUGCGGGUAUUUAUAUGCGAAUACUGUUACGUGCCGUCUCUCGGCUGAUAAAAGGAAAGGUAAAAGCCAUCGGCGUAGAAACGGAUUUCCGCGAAAAAUUGCGAAUGCGGCACGCUUUAUCUACCAACUGAGAAACCAUCGCCGUUUCCUUAUUACAGUCUGCCAAUGUGACAAAAUCUCCCAUCCUGUGAAGCUUCUUUCUGUUUCACCAUGUUUCUAACACGCUGCCCACCGUUUCGUACAAUUCGCUUCACAGACAUCCAUUAAAUGAAUCGAAGGACAGGCAAGGAAUGCUGCGGAACAGCUUCGUGCAGAAACUUUAUUUCUGACGCUUCUGGUGCAGCGAAGAGACAAGCUUGCAUACAUUUAACGGUAUCGUUUAUGAUACGAAGAUAUCGUACAGUGCUGCGAACAAUUACGGACUCAAAUACACUUUCGGUAUUAUUUCUUCGACAUCUGCGAGAAAGCACUGAUCAUUCUUGUGAGAGAUAUAUUAAUACGUUUGGAACAUAUUUUUUUUAUAAUGCAAUGUUUAUAAUACUAUAUUUUUACAUUCACAGUGAUGUGAAUGCUUGUACACUCAGACACAUUUUCUUCUUUAUUUGUUCAAAUCUUUGUUCUUAUUUUCAAGAAACCAGUGACAGUGUCUGGAUAUGGCAAGUGAAAUUGUUUUUGCAAAGGUAGAUUGAUCGCUGUGGGAUAUCAGGAGAUGUCACAUAGUAAGCUAUUGCCUUUCGUAACCGAAAUUCUUUUUCUUUUUCUUUUCUUCUUCAUUUGUUCAAACUUUUGUUCUUAUUUUCAAGAAACCAGUGGUAGUGUCUGGAUGUGGCAAGUGAAAUUGUUUUUGCAAAGUUAGAUUGAUCGCUGUGGGAUAUCAGGAGAUGUCACAUAGUAAGCUAUUGCCUUUCGUAACCGAAAUUCUUUUUCUUUUCUUCUUUAUUUGUUCAAACCUUUGUUCUUAUUUUCAAGAAACCAGUGGUAGUGUCUGGAUAUGGCAAGUGAAAUUGUUUUUGGAAAGGUAGAUUGAUCGCUGUGGGAUAUCAGGAGAUGUUACAUGAAACCAGUGAUAGUGUCUGGAUAUGGCAAGUGAAAUUGUUUUUGCAAAGGUAGAUUGAUCGCUGUGGGAUAUCAGGAGAUGUUACAUGGUGAGCUAUUGCCUUUCGUAACCGAAAUUCUUUUUCUUUUUCUUUUCUUCUUCAUUUGUUCAAACUUUUGUUCUUAUUUCCAAGAAACCAGUGAUAGUGUCUGGAUAUGGCAAGUGAAAUUGUUUUUGCAAAGGUAGAUUGAUCGCUGUGGGAUAUCAGGAGAUGUUACAUGGCGAGCUAUUGCCUUUCGUAACCGAAAUAGAAGACAAAAGAGAAUUUUUGUUACAGGAAAGUGGUUCCAAAAUUUCGCGAUAGAAUUAUCACGAUGACCAGCACUGAGUGCUGACCUGAACUCGAUCGAGAACCUAUGGGAAAUUCCAGCGAGAAAGCUUUACGACCAGGAGAAGCCAUUUGUAGAAAAUACGGUUGAACUUAAAAAAGGAAUAAAAUCCGCGUGGCUGGAUAUUCGAAACGAGAGUUUAAAUAAGUUGGUGGAUAAUGUACCUGAUAAUUGGAUUAAUAAAAGUAAUCAAAGAUAAAGAAAAAUCCAUUAAAUAUCGAAUGAGAACGUAACAAAAUCAACGUCGUUGAGUUUAUAUUUUCACAAGCGAAAACACAAUUUUCGAAGAAAAUUUCAUUGUUUGCAAGCUUCGAAAGAAGAAAGCUUCGGUUUGUUGCAUCUUUAGUUUCGCAUUAUAUUGUAAUGUAAAAUUACAUAAGCGGUUUCGUCAGUUUCUGUUUUAAUAUUAUGACGAAUAGCAAAAUAGCGUUGAGUUUAUAAUUAUUUAUUGUGUAUACUAUAUACAGGGUGGUUGGUAAUUGGUGGUACAAGCGGAACAGGGGUGAUUCUACGCGAAAAAAGAAGUCGAAAAUAUAGAAUAAAAUUUUUUUUUUUAAUUUUUCCAUAGAGACAACGAUCUACAGUGAGAUCCGUUAUAACGAGACGCGAUAAAGUGGACGCGUACCGAGCCAAAAAUCAAAGUCGAUUUUCUCGAAAACAAAGCCUCGAACGAAAAAUUGUUAUUCUAUAUUUUCGACUUCUUUUUUCGCGUAGAAUCAACCCCUUUCCGCUUGUACCACCAGUUACCAACCACCCUGUAUUUUACAAACAAUUUUCAAAUAGGACUAAAAGAACUGUCGCUUUUUAUUUUAUUAUCGCACACACUGUAUGCUAUAGAAUAGAUGACUGCUACUAAUAUGAUAAAAAAAAAAUACUGAAAUUCGUAGGGCAUUGUUCUUUUAUCCGCCACUGUAUUAGAACAGCUACUGAUGUUAUUUUUCUUUUUUUAUUUAUCGAUAUUUACAAUCAAUUCUCGCAUUGAGAAUUUUCAGUAAUUUUUUCUGGCGUGGCGCAGUCACAUGGCUAAAUUUUUUCUGGCGAGCUACUGAUGUUUAGUACAAAUUCAACGACUUUCGCUGUUUUUCGAUCCUGAUUAUUUUAUCGAUGAUUAUCAUAUACGGUGACUUUAUUAUUCGGGAGACUAUUGCUCCGCAAACAAUGGACACGAAAAGUAUAUUAGAGAUUUACUUAGCAGUAUUUUUAAGUGAUUACAAAAAUUUGAAUGCUAUAACGAAAAAUAACACGAGAGAUGAAGGAGAAACCUGAUGAAAAAUCGCCUCAUUGGGAAAUGAGAAUAUGCGCAAAUACGUUUUUGUAUUCAUUGUAUCUGUUUAUAGUAGCGUUAUCGAAUUAAUUGUUUUCUAAAUGUAUUAAAACACUUGUAACCAGUAAAUUGAUUUUGUCACAGGUAUAUCAAAUCAUCGAGUAGUAUAAUUCAUUCGAAUAGGAAUUCUAUUAGGUUGUCCGGAAAGUGUCUUUCUUUCGCAAACGAGCUUUUUACAACAGUUUAUCUCAAGAGAACAAAAUGGAUCGUACGUAAUUCGACAAAAUAGUAUAAAACAAAAAAACAUUAUGCGACAAUUAUUUCCUGAUAAAACGAAAGAAACUUUUCGAACAAGCUAAUAGAUCGAUAGAUUUACUUUUGUUAGUCCUAUUAAACCAAACGUGCGUUAUCGAGAACUUGCUUAGCUUGAGUAAGUAGGAAAUCAGAUUUAAUUUACGCAAAGACUGAUGAAUCUGGAAAUAAACGUUCCUCCCUUCUUCAUUUCUGAUUUCUCUUUCUGCUUCGAUCAAUAAAUCGACCGCGUGAUAUUGAACAGUAAUUUCUGUAAUUGACUUAAGAAAAUGAGUAGGAUAGGUAUAAUUCUAGAAAGUCAACGCCUAUCAUUUCAAAAAUCAUUAUAGGUCUAUCGCGGAGAAGAUGCUAUUAAUUUCUCAACAUAACGAUACACUCGUGUAAUUAAUACUUUCUCGAGAUUUUGAUAUAAGAAACAGUUCGACCUGAGACGUUUUCGAAAAGAAAAUUUCCUCCUAAACGAUAUUUCUAUAUUUUUCGUGAUAUGUUGCAACAGAGAAAAAAACAAGCGGCAUAAUUUUUCGCCCAACGAACCGUUGCUUGCCGUUAAAUUACGACAGUUGCGUCAAUUAAUUCGAAUCUGUGCUUUCCAUCGUGUGUCUGGCGACUGGAAUUGGACUACGUCCAAACAUAUUGAAGGAAAUUAAGGAACAGCAAGAAUAAACCUGAGGGAAAGUUACGAUAGCUGAUACGAUAAUUUCUUGCCAACAAGAUUCAUCGGUAACAGGUGAUUGAGAAACUUUGCCCGAUUCCAUAAAGAUCUGCUAAUUUUGAAUGCACGUCAGAGCUAUUAAAAGUAAUUAAACUGUGUCAAAUUAAAUCACCACGUAUUUAAAUCGAUCACGUUAAAGACAAAUUUCCAGAUACAUAUUUUUAUUGAAAUAUAUGUUUAAAUAAAUAUUAGGCAUAUUUAACUUCUCUGCGACAAAAUAGCGAUAAUAAAAUAUAAUAUAUAAAACGACGAAAAUAUAAUAAUACAAAAAAGCGAUUAAAUAUCGAGCGAUUAUUGGGAAUUGCGAGAAUCGAAGUGGUUUCGCAGUGAAACUGGCACGCAGUGUACAGAGAAUGUGUAGAGAAAGUAAAAUCAAAUCCAAGCGAGAGAAAUCCAUAAAAAUGUUUUAUUUUGCUGAAAGAACGUUCCGGCGAUCGAUAUUGUUUAUUUAAUCAUUUGCAACUUGUAAUUCAAUUUGUCUCAAGACACUUGAGGAGGAAUAUUUCAUUUUAGUGAGACAUUAUCCUGUUGUUUCAUAUCAAUUGUGUGUUAUUUUCCUGUCGCGCUCUUUGUAUGGCGAUAAGAGUCUUCUUAUGACGAUUCUGCGCAGAAAGACGCGAAAAUGGUCCAGGACGUUGCACAGAAAAUUGGGACCGCUUGUAUAAAACAUUACAAGUGCGAAGAAACGAGUCUUCAGGAGAAAAGGAAAACUCACGCAUCGACGUAGAUAACAAAUUCAUUAAAAAGUGAAAUGUAUCUGUGGAAAAGACUGUAUGUGCCAGCUCUUAGUUGCAAAGAAAGCUUAAUAUCUCAUUGAUUCGUCUGUAUGACACAGACAGAAGCCAAAAAAAAAAAAAAGAAACGGCUAACUAACAAUUAUUUACAUUUACAUCUUUCUGUAGAGAGACGAUGCUGUGCCACCUUAUUCUAACAUUGUUAACAAUUAUUUGAAAAGAGAAAUUCCACUUAAAUUCUGUACUACGGUAUUCUUAGCGCUAUGUAGGGCAUUGUCCAAUAAAAAAAUCAACAUUUUUCAAUGUUCGCGCUUGCAGUGCUUCCUACGACCACUUUUCGAUUAUGAAAACAAGGUGCAGACUGGAUGGUGAAAUUUAAUCGCUACGUUUCGUACGCGUCGCGGCUUGGGUUUCAGGAAAAUUGGAAUAUAACGGAACUGCAAAGGGUGAGGCAGUGUCUUCGAAAGCUGCAAGCUCGUAGAUAUAUUUGCCGGCAGUCACGAAGCAAAAGCGUCCGGGACACGGCGACGAGAAUAGUAACUGGUAGGCGAAGUUGACACGAUAGAAAUCGUAGCCUAGGGAGAGACUUUGAGCAUGGAGACUUCCGUCUCUCUACACUUUCAUGCGAUUCCCCCGGUAUUUGUUGCUGAAACGCGCAGAAUCAUCGUACGGAUACGUCCGUCCAAGGAAAAACAGUCAACUGCUGAAUAAAAGAACUGAGACACCGAGAAAGUUUAAUGCAGCCAUUAUUUACUUUCACGACUCGAAAUCACUUUUAUCGUCUACCAUCCACCGAUUCCCCUUAAACUUUACGAACUGGAUUGCUUCCAGUGAACAACACCUCGCGGAAGUGCUUAGCCGACCAAUUUGCGGCUGCGAAUGUUUCUUUCAAUUUACCAGGGAACUCGAUACAAUUUUUCCGAACAGCUACAAAUUUCAUUUGUAUCGAUUGUCGGACUAUUUGAGUAAAUUGUUUAAUACGAUACUAUUGUCAUUGUUUAAUACGAUAGAUUUGACUGUAGAUGCCACAAACGCAAGUAAUUAUUUACAUACUGUUGUGUUUAAAUUAUUUAGUAAGUAUUUAUUCAAAUAGUUG